rnacentral:rRNA from 1 species
GAUGAACGCUGGCGGCGUGCUUAACACAUGCAAGUCGAACGGAAAGGCCCAAGCUUGCUUCGGUACUCGAGUGGCGAACGGGUGAGUAACACGUGGGUGAUCUGCCCUGCACUUCGGGAUAAGCCUGGGAAACUGGGUCUAAUACCGGAUAGGACGAUGGCUUGGAUGCCAUUGUGGAAAGUUUUUUUGGUGUGGGGUGAGCUCGGGGCCUAUCAGCUUGUGGGUGGGGUAAUGGCCUACCCAGGCGUUGACGGCGAGCCGGCCAGAGAGGGGGUAAGGCCCGAGUUGGACGGAGAUACGGGCCAGGCGCCGACGGGAGGCGGCAGGGGGGGAUAUUGCGAAAUGGGCGCAAGCCUGAUGCAGCGACGCCGCGUGGGGGGUGACGGCCUUCGGGUUGGAAACUCCUUUCGCUAGGGACGAAGCGUUUUUGUGACGGUACCUGGAGAAGAAGCACCGGCUAACUACGUG